rnacentral:rRNA from 1 species
CCACGACCCCAGGUCAGGCGGGGCCACCCGCUGAGUUUAAGCAUAUCAAUAAGCGGAGGAGAAGAAACUUACAAGGAUUCCCCUAGUAACGGCGAGCGAACCGGGAACAGCCCAGCUUGGGAAUCGGGCGGCUGCGUCGCCCGAAUUGUAGUCUGGAGAAGUGUCCUCAGCGACGGACCGGGCCUAAGUCCUCUGGAAAGGGGCGCCAGGGAGGGUGAGAGCCCCGUCCGGCCCGGACCCUGCCGCACCACGAGGCGCUGUCGGCGAGUCGGGUUGUUUGGGAAUGCAGCCCCAAUUGGGCGGUAAAUUCCGUCCAAGGCUAAAUAGCGGCGAGAGACCGAUAGCGAACAAGUACCGCGAGGGAAAGAUGAAAAGGACUUUGAAAAGAGAGUCAAAGAGUGCUUGAAAUUGCCGGGAGGGAAGCGGAUGGGGGCCGGCGAUACGUGCCGGCCGGAUGCGGAACGGCUCCUUACCGGGGCUGGUUCGUCGCUCGGCUCGGUGCGUGGACCGUUGCGGGCCGCACCGGCGGC